rnacentral:rRNA from 1 species
UACGGAGGAUGCGAGCGUUAAUCGGAAUUACUGGGCGUAAAGCGUGCGCAGGCGGUGAUGUAAGACAGAUGUGAAAUCCCCGGGCUCAACCUGGGACCUGCAUUUGUGACUGCAUCGCUAGAGUACGGUAGAGGGGGAUGGAAUUCCGCGUGUAGCAGUGAAAUGCGUAGAUAUGCGGAGGAACACCGAUGGCGAAGGCAAUCCCCUGGACCUGUACUGACGCUCAUGCACGAAAGCGUGGGGAGCAAACAGG